GGACAGGCUAUUUUUUACCCGAACUGUUUGAGUGUAGCAAUGGCGCCAGAUGCAAUUCAUUUGAAACUACAACUUAAAUGCCGCAAGACCAAACACAUGAACAACAGAUACCGUACCACAGAUGGAAAAAUUGGACUCCUUGCGAUCUAAACUGGAACCAUGGGUGGAUGGAUUCAUCAAAUCCAGGAAAGAGCUGGAGGAAAUACUUAGGGCAGCAGUGAACAAGGACGUUUCUUCACUAGAUAUCAACUGACCUGAAGACUGAGCUAGAGAGACACAGAGAGCAGAGCUCUCAUCUCACAAGGUUUCUUCAUUGCUGCGGGACGUGAGAAGCUUCCGACCUGAGAAGAGGUCAUGGUCAUGGGAGCCAGAAGUGCAGCUCAGUGCAAAUUUCCAGCUUCCUGUACCGCUCUUCUUUACAACACUGUCCCCCCUGUGUUGAUACUUUCUGCUUCUAGGAAGAAUGCAGACAUAUGUAAAACUUGAAACCCUGCCAGAUGACCUUGGUGAAUAUUUUGACCGUCAGACUACAACGAAGAGAGAGAGCUGAAGCAGAGUGUGUGACUCGAGAAUAUCCUCACAAGUGUGUGUGUGUCUGUUUGCUGGGGUGAAAUAUGAGAAGCGCGUGACUGUAUUCCGAUGUCCUCAGAUACUUCCUCCAUUUCAGGUGAUUUUUCAAAUAUAAUUAAACUAUAUAAAUGACUGUGCUUUGGCACAAUGUUGUGGAUUACUACUUCCUUGAUGGCACCCACAGGAUUCUUGACAUCCACCCGGAUUCAUAUUCCUGUUAGAUAUAGACACAUGCAUUUUCAAGCAUUUGGAAUGUUGUAAAUGUAUCACGUAUCAGGAUCAAUCCAGGUGAAACUAGCAUUUGAAUUGAGUAUUGUAUUUCAAGUUUGACAUAUAUAAGAUCAAUGAAGGAAAUAGAGCUUGGUCAUUCUAGUCCACACAGAUAACCACACAGUAGUUGUUCCACAAUGCACACUGCAAGCUGAUGCCCCAGCAGCAUUGUUUGUUUACCCCUCAGGUCCUUCAGUAAAUUAAAAUCCUCAAUUGCUGUGUUGUACCUAUAGAAGAAUUGUGCAUUCAAAAUGUAAUAAAAAAGGAUGUUACAGAUUGUGUUAUAACAACAGUUGCGUUUACGAUAAUGAUCAAUUCAACCUUUUUCCACAAUGUAGUGCUUCUAGCUAAUUCACUUAUUUUCAAAUCGGCAUGCUUCAUAUUAAACAUCACAUUGCAUGCAUUCCUGCUUCUUUUUCUUCCUCAACUGUUUAGCAACAGAAGCAGCCUGUACACUGCACAAUGGGUUCAUUUGGGCUGACGUUGGCCCACAUAAGGCUGCAAGACUCUCCAUCUUGUGAUUGCUGCUUGUUGAAGAGGUGGCACUUAAAGAUUUGAUUUGACUUUGAACGGACUUAUUUCUUGAGAAAAUACCACAUAUAUUGAAUUUGAACUCGUGUUAAAUUCAACCACAUGGGCUGAACAGUUUCCCUAUAAUAAUCAAUUGGAUUAGUGUUGGCCUUGUCUGUGGUGCUGACAGAAACAUGGGUCUGAUUUAAGGCGAGGCUGAUAUCCCUCUGGGCCUGUCACAUGUUCUACAAAGUGUAUAAAUCAACUUAAAUAAUUUAAUAGGUUUAAGAUUAAAUUAGUGCGUCGAAAUCAGAGAAAGAAAAGCUUCAAUUGUGUCACUGAAUCUCAGAGCUGAAAUGCUCAGAGUGCUGAUAGAGCCACAAAGACACAUUUAAAUGCCUGGAGCCUUUUAUGUUCUAAGAAGUUAAAAGCUGCAAAAUGCAACCGUCUGUUGUUGUUAGUAUGCAGCAAAAUGCCAAUGAUCACUUGAUCUGUGAUAUAAUAUUUACUCAAAGGGAAGAAGUGCUGCAUUGUUAUUGAAAAAAGCUGAAAAAAUCCAAUCAAAGGCCCCAUUUAUACAUGCGAUCUGUAUCUGUACAGUGUAAAAUCUGGAUGAUGGCACCUGAUCCGAUCCAGACGUGGUCUGACUGAUCCAAUCACACUUUCAUCACAGUUUGCAUUAACUUUAGGGCUUUUUUCCCCAAAAUAAACUCUACUAAACUUUAUGUAAAACGCUCCGCAUAAACAGAAAAUGCAUGGUGUGAGACUUGUGUUAUACUGAAUGAGUUGCGAGAGAGUUUUGAAACUAAUGUUUUGAAGUUUUGUUGUUGUUGUGCAAUAUUUA